AAAGCUUUAAGUUAUUAAACUAUUAACCUUCAAAGUUAAAAAUAAGAUUUAUAAUUCUUAAGCUUUA
rnacentral:tRNA from 1 species